CAGGGAGCUUGAAAUGGCCCAGGCAUGAGCUUCUUUGUACCGGUGAUAUAGCUGACCUGUACAAUUUCAUAUUUCAGGACUCAUGGUGUAAGCAAUUGACACUAAUAAUACUGGGAUUUUACGCGAUCUUCCUGCAAACAGAGUUAAUAUUGACUCUAAAGGAAGAGGUCUUCACCUAAUUUGCAACAGAUCUCUCCUGAGAAUUUUUCUGAAGGAAGAGAGUGUAGGGAUUCAGGUUAACUAUCCAGAAGGGAACAAAAAUGACACAGUGGGAUGAAAAAGAUUUCUUCUAAUAUAAUUAUAAAGUGUCUUUCUGCUACGUGACUUUCUAGUAACUCCCUGUUGUCUUUGCUCCGCCAUUUCUCAGUGUGUAUAUCUCUGUUGGUGUCUUUCAGACUGGUGCUCUGAUUCCACAUGACGCCUCUGACAAAAAGAUGAUAUAGAGCUUUUUUUACAGGCUAUGAAGCUCUAACCUUUGAAAGUGCCAUAAGAGACCAAGGAAAAUAAUGAAUUAAUAUAGAUCUUGGUGAGUGGGCAUGAAUCAAGCUUUAUGAAAAAAUGCUGGUGGUUUUUUUUUGGACUCUAUGUACAUCACCCAACAUGUCAUAGAAUCAUAGAAUAUAGUGUUCGAAGGGACCUCAAGGAUCAUCCGGUCCAUCCUUUCUCGGCAAAGCAUGGCCUAGGCUAGAUGGCCCAGCACCCUCUCCAGCUAAAUCUUCAGUGUUUAAUGUAAGUAUCAGCUGAUAUCAGGGUUAUUAUUAUUUAACAUUACUUUCUGGGCAGGGAAUCUGAUCUGUUCAGAAAAUAAGGGUUAAAUUCUCUGUACAAAAGCUUUUCCUGCAAUUUUUCAUUUUCAAUUCAGAGACUUCAAAACAGCUUUGGUUAAAACAUUUAAUACUGGGGAAGAAUAUGGUGUCAACUUUAGAGAACAGAGGGAGUGUCACAUUUAUCUUCAAAAGCUUGGCCUGGACAUAUAAUUAAUGUAUUUUUCUUAAACUAUAAUGAAAUAAAGGCUAAGAAAGAGCUAAAUAUUGUAAUAAUUAAAAAAGCAGAGGGAAAAAACCAAAACAAA